CUCCUCCCGCUGCAAACGCGCGAACUUCUGUGGCUCGAUCCCAGUGCGCACUCCUCCCAGUGCACUGGCCGGUUGGAGUUUUGCCAGGGAGGCCUUCCCACCUGCCUGUCUCAAUGGAAAGAAUAUGUGGAUUUGGAUUCAGGGACACCUUUAUCACCUAUGUGACUUUAGGCUAAUAUAUCUGACCACACUGGCUCUGCAAGACCAUGGCUGAAGACUGCUUAAAUGUUGUCCCUGAGUCAAUAUCUUAACAUUUAUUGCAUCUUUUAUUUUCUUAACAAAAAUGAAGGCAUUUGUGACUGUGUUGUUUUCCAUCAAAAAUUGGGAAUCAUGCCCUUUCAUACAACACAGUUGUGACACAAUUUGUUGAAGUGAAAGAACACUGGAACAGAAACAAGAAUACCUGAGAUGGAGACUCACCUCUUACCAUCAAUCUAGUGUUGACUUUGGGUCCAUCUUUUCUUCUGGGGUAGUAGAAAGAUCAAGAUCAUCAGAGAACGUAGGGUGCAAUAUCAGCUCUCCAGUACCAAACACGGUUCAUUAACCUCUCGGAACCUCAGGUGUCUUGGGGCAUAGUUCAUGUCUCCUGGCCCAUCUCACAGGAUUAUCAGGAGGACGAAUGAGAUAAUUCUCAGGCUAAAGAAAAUAUCACCUAAUGCUUCUGAUAUACAGAAUUGUGUGCUGCAAAUGGUUGAAAAGAUUUUAGUUUCAACACCUAAUUCCCAUCAUUCUGUGGCAAAAUAUAUCUUGAGUUCUGAUGGGCGCCAGAACAACAUCUGAAGAUUGAAUGAAACUUCUAAAGUGAUAACAAGGCCCGUCCUGUACUUCACAGAAGACUUCUGAGGGUCAAAGAGAAGAUUUAUAGUUCUGGAGGUCAGAAGUCCAAGCUGAGUUUCACUGGCCCAAAUUCAAGAGUACCAGGCCAGAUUUCCAAAUGGGACAACAGGUGGAACUCUCAUUUUGCUCAUGUUCA
rnacentral:lncRNA from 10 species